UAGGGAAUCUUCCGCAAUGGGCGAAAGCCUGACGGAGCAACGCCGCGUGAGUGAUGAAGGUCUUCGGAUCGUAAAACUCUGUUAUUAGGGAAGAACAUAUGUGUAAGUAACUGUGCACAUCUUGACGGUACCUAAUCAGAAAGCCACGGCUAACUACGUGCCAGCAGCCGCGGUAAUACGUAGGUGGCAAGCGUUAUCCGGAAUUAUUGGGCGUAAAGCGCGCGUAGGCGGUUUUUUAAGUCUGAUGUGAAAGCCCACGGCUCAACCGUGGAGGGUCAUUGGAAACUGGAAAACUUGAGUGCAGAAGAGGAAAGUGGAAUUCCAUGUGUAGCGGUGAAAUGCGCAGAGAUAUGGAGGAACACCAGUGGCGAAGGCGACUUUCUGGUCUGUAACUGACGCUGAUGUGCGAAAGCGUGGGGAUCAAACAGGAUUAGAUACCCUGGUAGUCCACGCCGUAAACGAUGAGUGCUAAGUGUUAGGGGGUUUCCGCCCCUUAGUGCUGCAGCUAACGCAUUAAGCACUCCGCCUGGGGAGUACAGAGCGCGCAAGGUUG
rnacentral:rRNA from 1 species